rnacentral:rRNA from 1 species
UGGGGAAUAUUGGACAAUGGGCGCAAGCCUGAUCCAGCCAUGCCGCGUGAGUGACGAAGGCCUUAGGGUUGUAAAGCUCUUUUGGCGGGGAAGAUAAUGACGGUACCCGCAGAAUAAGCUCCGGCUAACUUCGUGCCAGCAGCCGCGGUAAUACGAAGGGAGCUAGCGUUGUUCGGAAUCACUGGGCGUAAAGCGCACGUAGGUGGGCAGUUAAGUCAGGGGUGAAAGCCCGAGGCUCAACCUCGGAAUUGCCUCUGAUACUGGCUGUCUAGAGUUCGAGAGAGGUGAGUGGAAUUCCUAGUGUAGAGGUGAAAUUCGUAGAUAUUAGGAAGAACACCGGUGGCGAAGGCGACUCACUGGCUCGAUACUGACACUGAGGUGCGAAAGCGUGGGGAGCAAACAGGAUUAGAUACCCACGUAGUCCCUGAGCGGGCUGGCAAGGCGCAU